CAGGAGCAGGCAGCCUGGAGCUUGCAGCCACUGUGUCUCUACAAGAUGAAACGAAGUCUUUCCACUGGGCGCUUCGUCUGCAUGGGGCUCACUGGUUCUCCUUUUGCAGUCACAGACUGCUAUUGCUUCUGAGGAAGGAUCUAGAUGGGGCAUGGGCUUUUGAAGAAAAGAGGGCCAAAACCACCCAAAUGCUGUUCCCAUUGAAACACAGAAGGACCAAGAGUUUAAUGUGAAAAUGAAAAGGAACAGAAUGUUUUGUUUUUCUCUUCUGACUGCUCUCACAAUUGUUAAUGAGAGGAAAAUCUGAAAUGGCAGUUUUGUUGUAAUAUGGGACAAAAAUCUGUAUUGGGAUUUUCCCUAGGACUGCAAUUCUAGUUCCUAGUCAGCUCUGCUAGAAACUCUUCCACCUUGUCUGCUACACUCUUGAUAUGCUGUGUUCUACUACAGAGAUGUUUGUCAGUGACUGUGCUAGUCCUCUGAUAUGCGUGGAUAAUUUCCAUGUGAAUGCGUGUGGUAGUCCCUAUUUUUCCUUCCUCCAUCUAAAUCCUAUGAGAAUAGAACUUCAGCAAUGUGUUGAAUAGUAGCACAGUGUUUCCCAACCUCAUAAUUAGUUCUCCAUAUAAACCUGCUAUGGAAGGAAGCGGUCUGGAUCUAUCACAAACAAGUAGCAGAUAACUUUUUAAAGUCAGGCAAGUUUAAUUUUCUUCUGACCAGUCUGUUGCAAAUAUUUUUAAGGUGGUUUUCAACUCCUGAGUGCAACCUUUUAUUCCUGCAGAAAGAGCUUUUAUAUAAAAAUCUUACUAGAAUGGUUCCAAAUAUUUUUCCCAUUUUAAUUAUUUUUUUGGUUAAAACUGUAUUCUGGACAUAUUCCUUUACUGCAGAUAUAUUAGGGCAUUAGACGACUAUUCCAGAAGCGCAAAUAAAAGUGAUUCUAAAGAUCUAUUUGCUAUUUAAAAUCAUUUGUGGUUGAAGUGAAGUAGGAGGUAAGUUGUAUUAGUAAAAGUGGGAAAUGUUUAUAUAUUUGAGUUCAUCUACUGUAAAUGUCAGGCUUUUGAAAGAAGAAUGAGCUGCAUUGCAACCCAGAUAAUGGGUUGCUUUUAAUUUAUUACUUCAGGUAAAGAGCUAACCAAAGUACUUUGCUGCAGCAAGUUGAGGGUUUUUUAUUCAAUACAUACAUCCUGGCCGGAUAUCUACACGGAAUUGACAAAACACCCCCAAAACAUCCGGUUCCAGAAGCAGUACAGUAUUGAGUAAAACCUGGGAUGGAACAUCUAUGGUUAGUCUUUUAUUUGGUUGUUCCAAAUGAAUAUCUGUAAUAUAGAUUUUUCAAAGAACUGUAGUUUUUUUAAAAAAAAAAG